UACGAAGGGGGCUAGCGUUGCUCGGAAUUACUGGGCGUAAAGGGUGCGUAGGCGGGUCUUUAAGUCAGGGGUGAAAUCCUGGAGCUCAACUCCAGAACUGCCUUUGAUACUGAAGAUCUUGAGUCCGGGAGAGGUGAGUGGAACUGCGAGUGUAGAGGUGAAAUUCGUAGAUAUUCGCAAGAACACCAGUGGCGAAGGCGGCUCACUGGCCCGGUACUGACGCUGAGGCACGAAAGCGUGGGGAGCAAACAGGG
rnacentral:rRNA from 1 species